ensembl:lncRNA novel transcript, overlapping ACER2
UUUUUUUUUAAUGUGAGAAGCAGAAUGUGCUUCUAGAAACUGGUUUUAAAGAGAUGAGCUGAGAAAGAAAUGUGGAAUGGAGUAUAUUUGAGGAGGACAAAACAUAACUUCACUUUUGAACAGAAAUCACUCUAGCUUGCCAGCAUGGGAUGUAAACCAAGAGAGUAGAAAUAUACCCAUCUUAUUUUAAGUUGGGUUUAUGGCAUCGCUCAUAUAUGUAAAAGCACUACAAACUCUUUAAAGAAAAUUGGGAAACUACAGAGAAGUCAAAGAAAAAAAAAAGUAACCCAUAUUUCUAUUGCCCAGGUAUAAUCCUUGUUAAUAUUUUGGUUUGGUCUCCUCUUUUUUCCCCCAAUAUAGUUGUAAAUAAAUGAUGUCUUUCAGAGUUGACAUUUAUCCUGUAGCUUGAAUGGCAUGUAAAUGCCAGUUGUAUAUUUUUUCAUGAAGUGUAGGUUUGGAAUACACUAGAGUUAGCUAUAUGCUUGAAUGCUGAUCACUGGAUUCUGAGACUGACUACUGAGUCUACCUUUUUAAUCAAGCCUAACAUGAAUGGGCUCCAAAAAGUAAUGAAUGUAAUUGUACUUUUUGAUGUGCCUCUGCACUUGGCUUGGUGAGUCAUCAUAAAUAGCUGUUAAAUAUGUGACUUUACAGAUUUUGAUAUGUUCAGAUUGUAAAAAAUGAAUAGUUUAUUUCAUUAAUUGAUGGGCAGUCAAGAAUCUCCCUCCCUUCAGUAGGGCUGACACUUAGGAGUUAGGUCAUGGUUGUGGUUACUUGGCAUGGCUAAUCAGAUUUUGUUCUGGUCAGAAUUUGCCCAAGAUCAAUACCCAGCAGAAACUGGAGUUAGGCUAUAAAAAACCAUUCAUGUUUCCGAGUGAUCAUUUCAGUCAGCGAUUCAUGUUUUACAGUGUUUAGUUGUUGAUUAUUAGAAAAAGUAAUAUUUUCUUCCCUUUAUGAUUACAUCAUUAUAAAUCAAGUCCUUCCAUGAACACAUUUAAGGUGUGUGGAGAUGAGAUCUCUGAAUCCAUUUGGGGAUGGGCUGCAUUUUUGGGGAACUCUAUGCCUGUCCAGUGAAGAGUGCCUAAAACAUUAAUUAUAGAUCAAAGAUGUUCUGUUGAGGGACAAAGCUUGAUGGUCAUCAAACACAAGGCUUUGUAAAAAUACGACCACCUAUUCCACUUACUGGAUCUGUCAGGUGUGUAAAACUUCUCUCGCCAGUUCAUCAUGCUUCCAUGAGCCCUCAGGACUGGGAUUUGAGCCUUCCUGGCUCUUUAUCCCUUGGGGCAGACAUGGAACCAUCUCUGAGGGACCAGGUGGAUGCUGAAGCUCACCCAGUCAGGGCCCCUCUCCUAGCUCCUUUUACACUGAAAUUAAUCUGAAAGCUUUCAUAGCCAAGGCUUUGCCUAGGUGCUAUUAUUCCAGCUGGCCAAAGAGAAGUCUUGGGCCAGAUUGGGAUUCUCAAUGGAUUUUAUAGACAUAAUUCCCCUGCAAACUUAAAAAAAUAAAUAACCCCUACUUUAUAGGACUAAUUGUUUGAAUUGUAUCUUUCUCUGUAUGUUAAACCAGAUUUAAAACUAUUUUAUAACCACAAUAUGUAAUCAGAGCAAUAUAGUGUUUUCAGAUAUAUACCUUGUUUUAUACCUUAUGUAGGUGUCCUACAUAAGGGUGGCAUGCCCACUGGCUGUGGUAAAAUUUAAUCCUCAUUGCUUUGGGAGUGACUUAAGGCCUUUUGAAGUGGAGCUUUUGCACUUUAUACUUUUUCUGUGAACUAUGAUAACUAUAUUUGAUAUUAAAGCUGUAAGUGGCAUUUUCAGCAAAUGAAUAUGUACAUGUUUGUGUCUAUUUCCAAAAUGAUUUCUGAACUAUCUGCAGUGAAAAUGUAUCUGAUGGAUUGUAGAGCAAAGCACAUUGCCUAAAUUCAUUUGUUAAUGAAUUGGGUACCAUUGUUAUUAAAAAUGCGUAAAGUAA